rnacentral:rRNA from 1 species
AGUGAACGCUGGCGGUAGGCCUAACACAUGCAAGUCGAACGGCAGCACAGUAAGAGCUUGCUCUUACGGGUGGCGAGUGGCGGACGGGUGAGGAAUACAUCGGAAUCUACUUUUUCGUGGGGGAUAACGUAGGGAAACUUACGCUAAUACCGCAUACGACCUACGGGUGAAAGCAGGGGAUCUUCGGACCUUGCGCGUUUGAAUGAGCCGAUGUCGGAUUAGCUAGUUGGCGGGGUAAAGGCUCACCAAGGCGACGAUCCGUAGCUGGUCUGAGAGGAUGAUCAGCCACACUGGAACUGAGACACGGUUCAGACUCCUACGGGAGGCAGCAGUGGGGAAUAUUGGACAAUGGGCGCAAGCCUGAUCCAGCCAUACCGCGUGGGUGAAGAAGGCCUUCGGGUUGUAAAGCCCUUUUGUUGGGAAAGAAAAGCAGCAUGUUAAUACCCCGCUGUUCUGACGGUACCCAAAGAAUAAGCACCGGCUAACUUCGUG